GGGUCUGAGCGCGGCAUUAUCAGCGGCGACCGGAUGCCCACGUGAGUGCAGCAUCUGACUACGGAUCAGAAGGUUAGGGGUUCGAGUCCCUUCGGGCGCA
rnacentral:tRNA from 1 species